GUGGGGAAUCUUGCGCAAUGGGCGAAAGCCUGACGCAGCCAUGCCGCGUGGAUGAUGAAGGUCUUAGGAUUGUAAAAUCCUUUCACCGGUGAAGAUAAUGACUGUAGCCGGAGAAGAAGCCCCGGCUAACUUCGUGCCAGCAGCCGCGGUAAUACGAAGGGGGCUAGCGUUGCUCGGAUUUACUGGGCGUAAAGGGCGCGUAGGCGGACAUUUAAGUCAGGGGUGAAAUCCCGGGGCUCAACCUCGGAACUGCCUUUGAUACUGGGUGUCUUGAGUAUGAGAGAGGUGUGUGGAACUCCGAGUGUAGAGGUGAAAUUCGUAGAUAUUCGGAAGAACACCAGUGGCGAAGGCGACACACUGGCUCAUUACUGACGCUGAGGCGCGAAAGCGUGGGGAGCUAACAGGAUUAGAAACCCUAGUAGUCC
rnacentral:rRNA from 1 species